rnacentral:rRNA from 1 species
GAGCGAACAGAUAAGGAGCUUGCUCCUUUGACGUUAGCGGCGGACGGGUGAGUAACACGUGGGUAACCUACCUAUAAGACUGGGAUAACUUCGGGAAACCGGAGCUAAUACCGGAUAACAUUUGGAACCGCAUGGUUCUAAAGUGAAAGAUGGUUUUGCUAUCACUUAUAGAUGGACCCGCGCCGUAUUAGCUAGUUGGUAAGGUAACGGCUUACCAAGGCGACGAUACGUAGCCGACCUGAGAGGGUGAUCGGCCACACUGGAACUGAGACACGGUCCAGACUCCUACGGGAGGCAGCAGUAGGGAAUCUUCCGCAAUGGGCGAAAGCCUGACGGAGCAACGCCGCGUGAGUGAUGAAGGGUUUCGGCUCGUAAAACUCUGUUAUUAGGGAAGAACAAACGUGUAAGUAACUGUGCACGUCUUGACGGUACCUAAUCAGAAAGCCACGGCUAACUACGUGCCAGCAGCCGCGGUAAUACGUAGGUGGCAAGCGUUAUCCGGAAUUAUUGGGCGUAAAGCGCGCGUAGGCGGUUUCUUAAGUCUGAUGUGAAAGCCCACGGCUCAACCGUGGAGGGUCAUUGGAAACUGGGAAACUUGAGUGCAGAAGAGGAAAGUGGAAUUCCAUGUGUAGCGGUGAAAUGCGCAGAGAUAUGGAGGAACACCAGUGGCGAAGGCGACUUUCUGGUCUGUAACUGACGCUGAUGUGCGAAAGCGUGGGGAUCAAACAGGAUUAGAUACCCUGGUAGUCCACGCCGUAAACGAUGAGUGCUAAGUGUUAGGGGGUUUCCGCCCCUUAGUGCUGCAGCUAACGCAUUAAGCACUCCGCCUGGGGAGUACGACCGCAAGGUUGAAACUCAAAGGAAUUGACGGGGACCCGCACAAGCGGUGGAGCAUGUGGUUUAAUUCGAAGCAACGCGAAGAACCUUACCAAAUCUUGACAUCCUUUGAAAACUCUAGAGAUAGAGCCUUCCCCUUCGGGGGACAAAGUGACAGGUGGUGCAUGGUUGUCGUCAGCUCGUGUCGUGAGAUGUUGGGUUAAGUCCCGCAACGAGCGCAACCCUUAAGCUUAGUUGCCAUCAUUAAGUUGGGCACUCUAGGUUGACUGCCGGUGACAAACCGGAGGAAGGUGGGGAUGACGUCAAAUCAUCAUGCCCCUUAUGAUUUGGGCUACACACGUGCUACAAUGGACAAUACAAAGGGCAGCUAAACCGCGAGGUCAUGCAAAUCCCAUAAAGUUGUUCUCAGUUCGGAUUGUAGUCUGCAACUCGACUACAUGAAGCUGGAAUCGCUAGUAAUCGUAGAUCAGCAUGCUACGGUGAAUACGUUCCCGGGUCUUGUACACACCGCCCGUCACACCACGAGAGUUUGUAACACCCGAAGCCGGUGGAGUAACCAUUUA